GAUGAAGAACGUAGCAAAAUGCGAUAAGUAAUGUGAAUUGCAGAAUUCAGUGAAUCAUCGAAUCUCUGAACGCACAUUGCGCCCGCUGGUAUUCCGGCGGGCAUGCCUGUUCGAGCGUCAUUUCAACCCUCAAGCCCCCGGGUUUGGUGUUGGGGAUCGGCUCUGCCCUUCUGGGCGGUGCCGCCCCCGAAAUACAUUGGCGGUCUCGCUGCAGCCUCCAUUGCGUAGUAGCUAACACCUCGCAACUGGAACGCGGCGCGGCCAUGCCGUAAAACCCCAACUUCUGAAUGUUGACCUCGGAUCAGGUAGGAAUACCCGCUGAACUUAAGCAUAUCAAUAAGCGGAGGA
rnacentral:misc_RNA from 1 species